ACGAAGUAGCAAUACUUAGUGGCAGACGGGUGAGUAACAUGUAGGUAUCUGCCCUUUGGCCUGGAAUAACACGAGGAAACCUGUGCUAAUACCGGAUAAGUCCUUACGGAGAAAGCUUUAUGCACCAUUGGAUGAGCCUGCACUCGAUUAGUUUGUUGGUAGGGUAAUGGCCUACCAAGACUGUGAUCAAUAGCUGAUUUGAGAGGAUGAUCAGCCACAUUGGGACUGAGACAUGGCCCAAACUCCUACGGGAGGCAGCAGUGGGGAAUCUUGCACAAUGGAGGAAACUCUGAUGCAGCGAUGCCGCGUGAGUGAAGAAGGCCUUUGGGUUGUAAAGCUCUUUCGUCGGGGAAGAAAAUGACUGUACCCGAAUAAGAAGGUCCGGCUAACUUCGUGCCAGCAGCCGCGGUAAUACGAAGGGACCUAGCGUAGUUCGGAAUUACUGGGCUUAAAGAGUUCGUAGGUGGUUGAAAAAGUUGGUGGUGAAAUCCCAGAGCUUAACUCUGGAACUGCCAUCAAAACUUUUCAGCUAGAGUAUGAUAGAGGAAAGCAGAAUUUCUAGUGUAGAGGUGAAAUUCGUAGAUAUUAGAAAGAAUACCAAUUGCGAAGGCAGCUUUCUGGAUCAUUACUGACACUGAGGAACGAAAGCAUGGGUAGCGAAGAGGAUUAGAUACCCUCGUAGUCCAUGCCGUAAACGAUGUGUGUUAGACGUUGGAAAUUUAUUUUCAGUGUCGCAGCGAAAGCGAUAAACACACCGCCUGGGGAGUACGACCGCAAGGUUAAAACUCAAAUGAAUUGACGGGGACCCGCACAAGUAGUGGAGCAUGUGGUUUAAUUCGAAGAUACGCGCAGAACCUUACCAACACUUGACAUGUUCGUCGCGACUCUAAGAGAUUAGAG
rnacentral:rRNA from 1 species